CCUACGGGUGGCAGCAGUGGGGAAUAUUGCACAAUGGGGGAAACCCUGAUGCAGCGAAGCCGCGUGAGUGAAGAAGUAAUUCGUUAUGUAAAGCCCUAUCAGCAGGGAAGAAAAUGACGGUACCUGAGUAAGAAGCCCCUGCUAAAUACGUGCCAGCAGCCGCGGUAAUACGUCGGCGGCCAGCGUUAUCCGGAUUUUAUGGGUGUAAAGGGAGCUUAGACGGCUGUGCAAGUCUGGAGUAAAAGGCGGGGGCUCAACCGGGUGCCGCACUCAAAACUGCAGUUCUUGAGUGAAGUAGAGGCAGGCGGAAUGCCCAGUGUAGCGGUGAAAUGCGUAGAUAUUAGGAGGAACACCAGUGGCGAAGGCGGCCUGCUGGGCUUUUACUGACGCUGAGGCUCGAAAGUGUGGGGAGCAAACAGGAUUAGAGACCCUUGUAGUC
rnacentral:rRNA from 1 species